GACGAACGCUGGCGGCGUGCCUAAUACAUGCAAGUCGAACGCAGUGGGGACGGGUGAGUAACACGUGGGUAACCUCCCAUCAGAGGGGAUAACACUUGGAAACAGGUGCUAAACCGAUACUGAUGGAUGGACCCGCGGUGCAUUAGCUAGUUGGUGAGGUAACGGCUCACCAAGGCCACGAUGCAUAGCUGGCCUGAGAGGGGGAUCAGCACAAGUGGAACUGAGACACGGUCCAGACCCCUACGGGAGGCAGCAGUAGGGAUUAUUGCACAAUGGGCGCAAGCCUGAUGCAGUCAUGCCGCGUGUAUGAAGAAGGCCUUAGGUUUGUAAAGUACUUUCAGCGGGGAGGCGUUACCCGCAGAAGAAGCACCGGCUAACUCCGUGCCAGCAGCCGCGGUAAUAC
rnacentral:rRNA from 1 species